UACGGAGGAUGCGAGCGUUAUCCGGAUUUAUUGGGUUUAAAGGGUGCGUAGGCGGAUUUUUAAGUCAGCGGUAAAAUGUCCGGGCUCAACCCGGGCCGGCCGUUGAAACUGGGGAUCUUGAGUGGGCGAGAAGUAUGCGGAAUGCGUGGUGUAGCGGUGAAAUGCAUAGAUAUCACGCAGAACUCCGGUUGCGAAGGCAGCAUACCGGCGCCCGACUGACGCUGAGGCACGAAAGCGUGGGGAUCGAACAGG
rnacentral:rRNA from 1 species